rfam:Hymenolepis microstoma genomic scaffold, pathogens_HYM_contig_0179
CCCGCUGAACUUAAGCAUAUCAAUAAGCGGAGGAAAAGAAACUAACCAGGAUUCCCUUGGUAACGGCGAGUGAAGAGGGAAGAGCCCAGCACCGAAGCCUGCGGCAGUUUUGCUGUUAGGCAAUGUGGUGUGUGGGUCGGCUCGCGGGACCAUCACUCCACUCGAAGUCCAGCAUUGAGUAUGGCAUCACUGGAUUUGGCCCAUAGAGGGUGAGAGGCCCGUACGGGUGGAGGUUCAGACAUGUGAGAUGGUUCACCAGGCCGGCCUCAGAGUCGGGUUGUUUGAGAUUGCAGCCCAAAGAGGGUGGUAAACUCCAUCCAAGGCUAAAUACUGCCACGAGUCCGAUAGCGAACAAGUACCAUGAGGGAAAGUUGAAAAGUACUCUGAAGAGAGAGUAAACAGUACGUGAAGCCGCAUGCAGGUAAACGGGUGGCGUCAAGCUGCGAGCCCGGAGGAUUCAGCUGACUGGGAUGUAGUGUACGCGCGCCUGGUGCGUCGAGAGGCCGGAGUAAGAUGUGGCGGUCCACUCCUCUGUCGGGAGUGGGGUGCAAUCGGUGUGCGCUCGCCGUGCAACGGUUGUCGCUAUGCAUGCCGGGUGGGUGCCGGAGCAUGCCGCUCGUCUGUUGGGCCACCUAGUCAGUGCAUUUUCUCCGUGGUGAACACCACGACCGGUGGAACUGCCAGUCUGCUAUGAGCAAGUCGUGUCCUCCUGGCGCAUUGCUGUGUUGGGUGGGCGCGAUCGCUGGCGGAGUGGGUGAACGGCGCAGUGGUGCCUCGGUACUGCCGCGUGUUAUCGUGCACUCUCCGUCGUAAGCGGUUAGUGGGUUUGACUAAGUGCUGUGACUACUUGCCUACUAAUCGGCGGCUCUUAGUGGUGAAAGUGACUGUGCAGGGCACCGGAGUUGUCCACCUCAUUCAAUAUGGUAUCCGGCACGCACGUUACAGGUGCUAAGGAAUCGAGGUGCGCCGCUGUCUGCCUGGUGUUGGGCCUGACUGUCGUGUUGCCUGCAAAAAGUGGGUCCGGCGGUGGUUUCGAUACUUGGUAUUGGCAGUGUGAUGCGCGUCUCGGGUGUCUGUGAUACCGGGGGUGAAAUAGUCAGUGGUGCUGUGGUAGACGAGCUACCCGACCCGUCUUGAAACACGG